rnacentral:rRNA from 1 species
UACGUAGGGUGCAAGCGUUAAUCGGAAUUACUGGGCGUAAAGCGUGCGCAGGCGGUUAUGCAAGACAGAGGUGAAAUCCCCGGGCUCAACCCUGGGAACUGCCUUUGUGACUGCAUAGCUAGAGUACGGUAGAGGGGGAUGGAAUUCCGCGUGUAGCAGUGAAAUGCGUAGAUAUGCGGAGGAACACCGAUGGCGAAGGCAAUCCCCUGGACCUGUACUGACGCUCAUGCACGAAAGCGUGGGGAGCAACAGG